GGGCUUGCUCUGGUUGACUUAGUGGCGGACGGGUGAGUAAUGCGUGAGCAACCUGCCUUUCAGAGGGGGACAACAGUUGGAAACGACUGCUAAUACCGCAUAACGUAUCGAGGGGGCAUCCUCUUGAUACCAAAGGAGCAAUCCGCUGAAAGAUGGGCUCACGUCUGAUUAGUUAGUUGGCAGGGUAACGGCCUACCAAGACUGCGAUCAGUAGCCGGACUGAGAGGUUGAACGGCCACAUUGGGACUGAGAUACGGCCCAGACUCCUACGGGAGGCAGCAGUGGGGAAUAUUGGGCAAUGGGCGAAAGCCUGACCCAGCAACGCCGCGUGAAGGAAGAAGGUCUUCGGAUUGUAAACUUCUUUUAUGAGGGACGAAGGACGUGACGGUACCUCAUGAAUAAGCCACGGCUAACUACGUGCCAGCAGCCGCGGUAAUACGUAGGUGGCAAGCGUUAUCCGGAUUUACUGGGUGUAAAGGGCGCGUAGGCGGGAGAGCAAGUCAGGUGUGAAAUCCAUGGGCCUAACCCAUGAACUGCACUUGAAACUGUUUUUCUUGAGUGCUGGAGAGGUAGACGGAAUUCCUUGUGUAGCGGUGAAAUGCGUAGAUAUAAGGAAGAACACCAGUGGCGAAGGCGGUCUACUGGACAGUAACUGACGCUGAGGCGCGAAAGCGUGGGGAGCAAACAGG
rnacentral:rRNA from 1 species